GCCCAGGGUCCUGCAGCCCCCCUCCCCCGCAGACUUCACCCCUUUCAGUCCCCAACCGGAUGGGGCUCCCGUUUCCCAUCCUCUGCCGGGUGCCUGGGGCUCCUGGUCACUCACUCGGCAGCUGGCAGCCCCGGUGGCUUCCGUGCAUUUGUUCACCCCCAGGUAUUUAUGAGGCGCCAACUACGUUCGGCGUCCGGUGGUGCUGGGGCGGUGGGGAUCCAAGAAGGGGUCAAAGCAGCAUUACCCUCGAGCGGGGUAAACCAGGAAUUGCAGAUCGUGGUUAAUGCAAUGAAUCUACACUGAGGGUGGGUAGGGGUGAGAGCCGGGCUGGGGGGAAGGCAGGGCCUGGCUCAGUCCAGUCUCAUCUCCAAAUGCUCGUUCUGUACCAGGCCUGUCCACAGACCCUGGAUGUGGGCAGACCCUUGAGCGCUCAUAAUGUAACGACCUGUUUUUGCACAGUGUUAGGUCGGUGGAGGCGACUUGGUGGCGACUUAGUGGCAACUUAGAACAAAGCAGCCCCCGCUGGAAAAGAACAUCAAUCAGAUGCCGGUGGAAACGCCUGUCAAUCAGCCAGAUCUCCUGACUAAUGCCUGUCAAUCAACAGGACCCCCUCUAGCCAAUCCUGGAGUUCAGCCAACUCCCCUGACCAACUUCAAGGGGGCAAGGGACCCUAGAAACACCUUUUCCUGUCCCAGGCCCUUCCCUUCCUGCUGUAAGCCCCAUAAAAGUCCAGUCCGGUCGAGCUUCCACACGGUUUCUCCUCAGACCCUUCCCCUGUCCCCUCUGUGGGUCUGAUGAGUUCCACCCAGGAAUGAUAUCUCAAUAAAGCCUGUUCAGG
rnacentral:lncRNA from 1 species